UAGCUCUGAAGUGAAAUUGAACUAUCACAUAACUGUAUACUUGAUAUGCUAGAAAAGCAGAGACAGACUGGGAAAGGCAGCAGUUUCCAGCACAGCAUUGUGUAAAUGUGACCAUAUUGAUUGCACUAUGUAAUGUCCUCCCUUAUAGCUUCAGUUGUUAGAAUAAACGUAAUAGCAUCUUAGAAGGGUACUUUGUUUCUAUGAAGCUGCUGAUACGAGGAACACCUUAUGUCAUGCCACUGGCUUAUGAAGACUCAAUGCCAUGUCUAUCACAGAAGAUUCAGAAGUGAGAAGCUUUAGGCUGCCAAAUAUAGCAGUAGUUUUGUCAUGAAGUGAGUUAAAAAAGAUCAAUGCAACCAUGGAGAAGUCAGACAAAUUCUACUGGGAGAAUGAUAGAGUUUUUGGCCAUGGAAAUGAAAAAGAUUUAAUUCCUCGUAUGUUGAAUAUAAAAUAGCAUCAUAACUUCCAACCAGGACAAAAGAAAAACACCCCCCAGACAGGAGUGUGAUUGACAUGACACAUUAACUUGCUGGAUUUAUAAUCUUAGAAGAAAAGCACAUAGUCUCACAGCUGGCAUCCAGGAAGAACCCUAAUCCUGAUUGCUACAUGUGUCCAGUGAACCAUCAAUGGAAUUGACUUUCUUUAUUUUUGGAAGUUUUUAUCUUGUGUAGGAAGGAACAAGACUGAACUCCAUUCCUGUGACCAGAUCAGAUGUUUUGGCAUGAAACUUUGCAUGUUUCUUUUGGAUAUCACUUAGAUGGUGUAUAGAAUGUGUGUUAUUCAUAUGGAUAGUAUUCAUUUAUUUUUAGUAACUUCCACAAAGAAAUUUGGUGGAAGGCAAAAAUUGGACUAUUGUCUCCAAAUAAACACGUCAGUGCUCUCCACCUUAUAUAUCAAGAUGAGUAUUAGGUUUAAAAAAUGUAGAUAAUGUAUACAAAAUAUGUUGUUGUUGUUGUUAUUGUUUUUUAAAUAGAAACUACCAGUUAUAAAUGCAGUGGGUAACAAGACUAUAACAAGCAGUAACACUGACCAAAAAUCCCAGACUUCUUAAAGAACUUUAAUUGCAUCUUAGUACAUGGCCUGGAGAAGAAUGAGCAUAGCACAGACAGCACAUCACUCAAGCAGCUCCAGGUUAAAAGGUAAUAGCUGUUUCAUACCACAGAGCAAACAACAUUUAAAGUCAGGGAUGGAAAUAAAAGUGAAUGCUGAACCCAAACAAAAAUGCAAGUGGUGGAUCAAGUACUGAAGUCAUAGGUUUAGGUUUUACACUCUUAUAUGUGGGCUCAAAAGCUAUGUCUGAGUCUGCAAAAUCUACUAAUCUGACUCCUAUUUAACUUUUCACCUAAAAAACAAUACCUCCAACAACAUAAAGCAAUCAAACUCUAUUCUGGCUGUACUGCCAUAGGAGAGGUCGUUCACUGAAUCACCAGCCAAACUGCAGCAUCAGCUGGGUGUGCCCAGGUGCAGAUCCAGCUCCAAUUAGCUCUGCAGCACUGAGAGCUGGCAGGAUCCUUGUGCAAACCACAGCAGCUGCAAAACCUAGGUGGAGUGGUGUCUCAAGCUGUCUGUAAUGAACAUUAAUUUGCUACAUGUGGAAAAACAUACUGAGAAAUAUUCACAGUUAAAAAUAUAACAAGGCUAUGUUUUGAUACUGAAGGCAGACUUACAUGACUUUUGAAUAUCUACUUGGAAACUUCACAGUAAUACUGGUUUAUAGCUCUGGUUAUCCUCUACCUAUUCAGAUCCAGAUAUGUAAAGAUAACCAAGUACAACAAGUUGGAAAAUAAUGGCUCGUGCUUUCAUCAGCAAGACUGAAAAUAAACAUUACAGAGAUCAGUCUUCAUGAUGAACACUAAUUAGUUGGUAAAAUGCUCAAGAAGACACAUAUGUUAUAAAUAAGAACAAUGAGCUUCUAAAAAACAUUUGAAAAGGAAAAUUCUUUCCAUGUCAAUGGAUCAACUUUAGUAUGCUAUUGCUUUGGAUACUUAGAAAUUUUCUUCUUUAUUCUCUUUUAUUGACUGGCCUUGUAAGAGGUCCAUUGGCUGUGUAGCAGUCAGGCUGAAGUAUUUAUCUGUAUGCUGACAGUGAAACAUAAUUAACAAGAAUAACUGCAGGUAGAAGAGUUUUAAAUGCUGUAACCUUUGCAUCUGGACACAGCAUUCUAUUUUAUUGUUAUAAUCUGUAAUCAUUAAAAAAUUUCUCAUGCUCCUCAGGUUCCAAAGAAAAGUGAAAUCCUCAGAAAGUCAGAGCCCUGGCUAUCUGGAAAACGUUUUUUUCGGAACCUUGAUAUUGUAUUCUAGUAAAACAAAGCCCACUCAUCACUCUUGAAAAAUGUUACGCCUUUGAAAACCCUUUUUAACCAUCCUAUGGAAACAAUGACCACAUAGACAUAGCAUAUUUGUUAUUAUUCACUGCUCCUUUGUAAAGGAAAAUUAGACCAAAAGUAGCACAGCAAAUGUCCAUAGCUACUAAGCACUGAGAAUCCAUAAUAAUCUUGGAAGUGCAUUUACUAUUUUUCCAUGUAUGGGGGAAUGAGAAAAAAAGCUAAUAAAUAAAGUUAAAACUCCGGAAGAUACUAGGAAAUCUAUUGUUGUACACUUAACUGCAUUGAAAAUAUGUUCUGUAUCUAUAAUUUCUUUAAAUUUUAACCAACUGUGAGAAAUACUGACUGAUUUAAUGGCCCUGUGAGUUUACUCUUCCAUGCACAUAUGACUGACCCAAGCUGUGCUGCCUGGUGGUGUAAUCAAAUAUAAUAUCCCCCACAGAAAGACAGAAUCUAAUCAUCACCUGCCAAUUCUCACUGAUAGUCACAAUACUUGCUAAUUAGCUAUACAGAAAAGGUCAAGGAAGGAGACACCGGAAAUGAGAUUCCUGUGGUGAAGUCCUACGUACAGCUCAGUUUGACCAAAACAACUUACAUCUGGACAAAAUUAGCACUCAUACUCCAGAUUCUUUGAACUCAGAGAUAGUGGCCAAAGUGGCUUGGAAGCAAAUACAUAUAUGUGUAUAUAAAAACACACGCACACGACUCAAAAAGACUUCCAACUAAGAUUUUUUAGGGCUGGUCAACAAGGCAUAUUAGAAUCUGUGUCACAUCUGUUAAUGUUACACUUAGGACUUCAACCAUAGGCAGAGAAAAAAACAAAAGACAUGACUAAGUGGAAGUUGUGUAUGUGGAAAAGAAAGGAAAAGGACACUCGUCUUUGAGGGCACAUUAACUGGUGAAGAGUACUGAGCUCAUGGAUGUGAAACAAAUAGCUAAGGCUUGUAAUGCACAAUACAAGAGUCUAAAAAUGUAAAGAAUCUCAUUGUAUCAGCCAGGUUAAACAGUGAAAUUCCAACAUGAAAAAAUAUUCUGUUAUUAUUCUUCAGAGCUUGGAGUUCUUUUAACUCCUUUUUCCCCACUCUGACUCAUACGUUGCACAUCUGAUAACAAGAGAAAAAAAUUAUAUCUAUCCUCAAAGCAAUUUUCCACCAUUUCAACUAAUAUUCUCUCCCUCUAAUACUGAUUUUAGUUUUUUUUCUGUUUGACGAGGCCUAUAACAUUAAUUAAAUUCUAAAUAUAAAAGACUAUGUAUCACUAUCAGUGGCAUAAAGCCAGGACAAUGUAAUUUUACUGUGAAAACUGGCACAGUUUCAUAGUAACUCUAUAUAGUUUCUUCAAUUCAAAAUUUAGGUUUGCAACCAGCAAAAGACUUACUGUUAAAAUGCUUGAACACAUUUGUCACUCCCCAUAAAAGAGUACAGAGGAAGAACAUAUGUGACAUGUGCUCAGAUGUCUUGUUUCCGUACCCUUUCUUCAAAAUAUUCUUGCAAAUUAUGCCACCGACAGCAUGAUGCCAAGUGCCUUAGGGGUCACACUGGGCUUGCUUCACAGGACUACAAUGAUUAUAUCAUGGUGGCGUUGACGUGCAGCCAUGUCCAAACAGCUGCUAAAGAGAUGACAGGAUACCAUCUGUCAGAAGAACCAUGCCCAGCUGCUGUCUAAUCUUAAGAUUACUUUGCUGACAUGAUGCAGAUGGCACAAAAAGCUUCAUUACCAGCUUAGUUAACCAAGUAAAAAAAUAAAAAAUAAAAAAAAAAUCCAAUGUUACAAUUAGCAACAUCCUCUCUACAGAUACAACAUUGAGGCUUGAAGAAAACGGUAUUCACCUCAUGGCACAGCAGAAGGCAGCACAAUCCACCAUACAGAAGAUGAAAACUAACAAAAUGCUAAAAAAUCUAAUAGCCUUUUCUGUGUGGCUACUAGCACUCUCUGCCAGGAUAAUUUGUUCUUACAAAUAAAUCAGGUCUGGCCUUUAAGCUUUAUCCUCCUCACACCCCCCCUGGAAUGUAUCCCAGACCUCUGAGCAAGGAGACCAGCCAGCCCUCAGCCAGCACCUCCACCUUUGGCCUGUGGGGAAAAGUUAAGUCUGAAGAACCGAUCUCCCACAAAAUGCAAGAGAGAAUACUCCCAUAGCAUCAUCACUUAGGAAGGACUGUAGAAUUCAAAGGAUUUCAUUAAUUUCAGCUUAAGAUAAGGCUAUAACCCUUCAUC